rnacentral:lncRNA from 1 species
CACCUCCCCCCGCUGCGGCGGGGGCAGCCGCUCGGCUAGGCGCUACCUACUGCCCGGCUCUUAAUGCCGAACUGUGUCCCCCCCCCCAAUGCUCCUACUGUGCGCUAUGGUUAGACGACCCCGGCCCUGGGAGCCCCACAUUGCUGCGGGGGGGGGCGGGGGUGGAACGCGGGAUGGCGCCCAGAGAGAGGGAUGGCUGACCUGGAUCGGUCGCAGGGCACGUGAUCUGCGGGGAAUCAAAAGGCAAAGAACCAAGUGAGUUCAGUUCCAGAACCAUGUUGGGUGGCUCCUAACCACUUAAAAGUCCAGCUCCAGAGACACUUGGUGCCCUCCACUGGCAUCACUGGACUCAAUGAAGCUGGAGUUACAAGUAGUAUCAAUCACCCACGGUCGGUCCUGGGAACCGAACACAGGAGCAAGCAAGCACUUUUACCUGCUGUGUCAUCUCUCCAGUCUUCCCGAGGAACUCAGUUUGGAGCUCACAGAUUCCUGUCACUCACACAUCAGGGGAUCUGACACCCAGAAAAUCAAAUCAUAUCCUUUCUCUGUAUUUAUUUGCUCUCUCUCUGUUUUUUUUUUAAGAUUUAUUUAUUAUGUAUACAGUGUUCUGUCUGCAUGUAUGCCUGCUGGCCAGAAGAGGGCACCAGAUCUCAUUACAGAUGGUUGUGAGCCACCAUGUGAUUGCUGGGAAUUGAACUCGGGCACCCCUGGAAGAGCAGUCAGUGCUCUUAACCUCUGAGCCAUCUCUCCAGCCCCCGUGUGUUUGUUUUUCCAGACAUGGUUUCUUGUGUAGUUUUGGAGUCUGUUUUUUUGUUGUUGUUGUUUGUUUGUUUUCGAGACAGGUUUUCUCUGUAUGUUUUGGAGCCUGUCCUGUAACUCCCUCUGUAGAUCAGGCCGGCCUGGAACUCACAGAGAUCCACCUGCCUCUGCCUCCCAGGCACUGGGAUUAAAGGCAUGCACCACCACCGACUGGCCCAAAUGAGACUCUUUACAGUGUUCUGCCUGCAUGUUUGCCUACAGGCCAGAAGAAGGCACCAGAUCUCAUUGCAGAUGGUUGUGAGCCACCAUGUGGUUGCUGGGAAUCGAACUCAGGACUUAUGGAAGAGCAGCCAGUGCUCUUAACCUCUGAGCCAUCUCUCCAGCCGGAAUUAACCUCGUAUAGAAUGAGGUGAACAAAUGAGAGUCUUAAUAUUUGUAAAUUUCUCAGAUAAGCUUGAGAAAAUGAACUAGUCAUUUGGUUAAGUCUAUUAAAUCAAGACAGCAAAUAGGAAGGUGGAGAGAUGGCUCAGGGGUUAAAACCAUACACUGCUCUUGCAAAGGACUCAAAGUUUAGUCCCAGCACCCACAUCAGGUAACUAACAACUAUAACUAAUGCUAACCCUAUAACUCCAGCUCCAAGGGAAUCUGACACCUUUGAUAUCACAUACACAUACUCACAUAACACAUACACAUAAUUAAGAAAAGUAAAAAUAAUACUAUGGGGCUGGAGAAAUAGCUCACUGGUUAAGAACACCAGCUGCUCUUUCAGAGGACAUGGGUUCAAUUCCUACCACUCACAUGGGGCUCAGAACCGUUUGUAAUCCAGUUCCAGGGUAUCUGAUGACAACGUCUCUGGCCUCUGUGGGCAUCAGAGACUCUGAGACACUAAGUACCUGGUUCAAGGUGACCUUGACACAAGGUGCAGUGGAGGUCCCACAGUCUGACUUUCCCAAAUGCCUGAGUUCACAAGCAAGUGGGGAAGGUGCUCCCACUAAGUGACCUGUGACAUCACCUACCUUUCUCAGCGUCAGCAGCCCCUCCCCCGACCCCAGCAUACAUCCUGCCCUCCACGGACUUGAUUCCUAGCCGCUGACUGACUACAGCAAGAGAUGGCUGUAAUUCCCUUGGCAAGUCCUUACUGAUACAGUUAUGUCCUGGUGAGGGGAACCAGAACCACGGAGGAGGAGAAGCUUGUUCAGGUUUGAACACCUGGGGCCCCAGACAGACACUCUACGGAUCUGAAUUCAAGCCGUGGCCGCCCCAUCCUCAGAAAAAGCCAAGGAAGAGGUUGCUGCUGUCUUGGGCAGAAAAAGGCCUUCACAGCGCCCUGCUGACCUACACUUAGCACUCCCCACAGCCUGAAUCCAGAAAGCGGCUGGUUAUUUGGACUGCCACAGCUGUAGAGGCUGCAUAGACACACCUUGAAAAUACAGGGAGCCCCAGUGGACUGCUAGGCUCUCAGAGCCUGGCUAGGACAGAGCCUCUGAUGGGUUAAAGGGGACCAGGACUCUGCCCACCCUCACCCUAGGAACCAGAUGGUCCCUAGGGACCUGCAGACUCUGCCAGCCUGGCCUUGGCACCAGAUCUUCUGGCCAGCCUCCUGAAGUCACUGUUCCUGUGUCUGCACUGACCAGACAGCGAAGCUCUCUUUAGUGACUGCACUUCUCAGCUCACAUCCAUUUUGAAUUGCUAUCAACUUAAUCCUAAGAAUAAUUUAGUUUUUGUGAGAAUUGGGGUUCUCCUGUUACUCCACCUCCCUUUUAUCCCUGUUUCCACAUUUCCUCCUUUCUGUACCUAAAUCAGCUUUGUGUUGUUGAUUUUGAUGCAAGGUUUCUCUGUGUAGCUCUGGCUCUCUGUAGACCAUGCUGGCCUCGAACCCUGAGACCCACCUGCCUCCACCUCCCGAGUGCUGCGAUUAAAGGUGUGUGCCACUCCCCACUGGCUAAAUUAGUUUUUGAAAAAAAAGGUAGAAUUUACCAGUCUUCUCAUAUAAACAGCAAAAACCAAACAGAUCCCUGCAGUCUCGGGCUGGCCGGCUCAACGGCAGUAGACUAUGACCACAAGGGGGCGCACCGAAGUCAACACCAUCUUGGCCCACACAGUAAAGAGAAAUUAUUUGUGUUAGCGGCAGCCACCCAAGAAAGGACAGAAGCUUAAUAGACUUCUUUGAACAGAAAUGUCAGGAAGUGGUGUCCAGCACAGUGGCAGGAAGGAUACCUGGCAGUCCUUUGCUCAGCCCUCCCUCCCUCAUAGAAAGCAGAAGUUAGCAGUAGUGUUUCAGGAUGAUCUUAACCCCCCUCCCCCAGCCUGCAUGUGGUCAGCCGCCAUUACUGUAGUUCCUCAAGCAGAAGACUGGGGGAUCAGAUUAUAUGCCAGCUAUUUUCCUCAACACUGAUUCAGGUACAGAAAAUAGUAAAGUCGCUGAAUCACAAAUGUCUCCCUGUCCUUUCAGGUCAGUACUGGGGGCAAGGACAUGAAUGCCACCACAUAGCUGGGCAGGGCAUGAGAUGGUGAGAAGUGACAGAUGUCACAUGGUCGUGAGUUAAUGAAGUGGACAUCUUCAGAGAGCCUGUAGGAGCCAGGCGCAGCACUCUCAGCUCAAAGAGUCAAACCCGAGAAAAAUGCAAACCCUAACCUCAAGAAGAGUAUGACAGGAGAUAAGUCACAUUACAAACAGCCUGGGGAGCAAUGG